CUUCGAGUACAUGUUAUAUCAAAACAAAAACGGGUAGUAGCCAAGAUCCAGUACACGACGCACACUAGAAUAAUAAGUUUACAUGUAUCAUACGGUAUAAGUUUGUGUGUCUUUAGAAAAGGAGGCAAACACGGAAGGCCGAAAUCAAUAUUUACCAUUUUGCAUAACUAUACACUUCCGAUAACCGUCCAGUUUGCGAAGAAUCACAGACUUACAGUUGAUAAACACACUGUCGACGUUAGCAACAUCCCGCGCAUGGAACUCCUACAGAUCUAUGACGAGAUUAACCUUUUGUCAAAUUAUAUAAUUGACGGU